rnacentral:rRNA from 1 species
CACGUAGGGCGCAAGCGUUGUCCGGAAUUAUUGGGCGUAAAGAGCUCGUAGGCGGUCUGUUGCGUCCGCUGUGAAAACUCGGGGCUUAACCCCGAGCCUGCAGUGGAUACGGGCAGACUAGAGGUAGGUAGGGGAGAAUGGAAUUCCCGGUGUAGCGGUGAAAUGCGCAGAUAUCGGGAGGAACACCGGUGGCGAAGGCGGGUUGCUGGGCUGACACUGACGCUGAUGCGCGAAAGCCAGGGGAGCGAACGGG